GCUUGGAAGCAGCCAUUCAUUUAAAGAGUGCGUAACAGCUCACUAGUCGAGGAGUUUGGCGUGGAUAAUAAUCGGGCAUCAAGUAUUCUACCGAAGCUUUGGGAUGUUUAAACAUCGGUAGGGGAGCAUUCCACUCAGCGUUGAAGGUGAGGCGUGAGCCUUGCUGGAGCGUGUGGAAAAGCAAAUGUAGGUAUAAGUAACGAUAAAGGGGGUGGGAAACCCCCUCGCCGAAAGACUAAGGUUUCCUGAUCAACGCUAAUCGGAUCAGGGUCAGUCGGGUCCUAAGGCUCAGCCGAACGGCGAGGCCGAUGGCAGAACCGGUUAAUAUUCCGGUACUACCCUUUGGGGUGACGUGGAGACGCAGUCGUGACAAUGCCGCCAGCUGACGGAAUAGCUGGUUAAAGGGUGUAGAAGCUGAUUGUGGCAGGCAAAUCCACCACAAGAUUCGAACCUGACAGUAUGGAGCGUCCUUCCGGACAAUCCAACAGUGCAUGUAAUCAUACUGCCAAGAAAAUCCGCUAAACAUAACCUUCAGGGUACCCGUACCGCAAACGGACACACGUAGUCGGGUUGAAUAUACUAAGGCGCUUGAGUGAUUCACGGUUAAGGAACUAGGCAAAUUAACCCUGUAACUUCGGGAAAAAGGGUCCCUACCCGUUAUCGGGAGGGCGCAGAGAAUCGGUCCAGGCAACUGUUUAACAAAAACACAGGGCUGUGCGAAGUCGAAAGACGCUGUAUACAGCCUGACACCUGCCCGGUGCUGGAAGGUUAAGAGGAGAUGUCAUCGCAAGAGAAGCAUUGAAUUGAAGCCCCAGUAAACGGCGGCCGUAACAAUAACGGUCCUAAGGUAGCGAAAUUCCUUGUCGGGUAAGUUCCGACCUGCACGAAUGGUGUAAUGAUCCGGACGCUGUCUCAACCAUGAGCUCAGUGAAAUUGUAGUAUCGGUGAAGAUGCCGAUUACCCGCGAUGGGACGAAAAGACCCCGUGAACCUUUACUAUAGCUUAUCAUUGAAUUUGGGCACGUGAUGUGUAGGAUAGGUCGGAGGCUUUGAAGCAGGCACGCCAGUGUUUGUGGAGCCGCUGUUGAAAUACGACCCUUCAUUUGUUUGAGUUCUAACUCGUAAUACGAGGACACUGAUUGGUGGGUAGUUUGACUGGGGUGGUCGCCUCCAAAAGUGUAACGGAGGCUUCUAAAGGUGCCCUCAGGACGAUUGGUAACCGUCCGUAGAGUGUAAUGGCAUAAGGGCGCUUGACUGGGAGACAGACAAGUCGAUCAGGUAGGAAACUAGAGCAUAGUGAUCCGGUGUUUCCGCAUGGAAGGGACAUCGCUCAAAGGAUAAAAGGUACUCCGGGGAUAACAGGCUGAUCCCUCCCAAGA
rnacentral:rRNA from 1 species